GUGCCAGCAGCCGCGGUAAUUCCAGCUCCAAUAGCGUAUAUUAAAGUUGUUGUGGUUAAAAAGCUCGUAGUUGAACCUUGGGCCUGGCUGGCCGGUCCGCCUCACCGCGUGCACUGGUCCGGCCGGGCCUUUCCCUCUGUGGAACCCCAUACCCUUCACUGGGCGUGGCGGGGAAACAGGACAUUUACUUUGAAAAAAUUAGAGUGCUCCAGGCAGGCCUAUGCUCGAAUACAUUAGCAUGGAAUAAUAAAAUAGGACGCGCGGUUCUAUUUUGUUGGUUUAUAGGACCGCCGUAAUGAUUAAUAGGGACAGUCGGGGGCAUCAGUAUUCAACUGUCAGAGGUGAAAUUCUUGGAUCAGUUGAAGACUAACUACUGCGAAAGCAUUUGCCAAGGAUGUUUUCAUUAAUCAGGAACGAAAGUUAGGGGAUCGAAGACGAUCAGAUACCGUCGUAGUCUUAACCAUAAACUAUGCCGACUAGGGAUCGGACGGUGUUAUUCAUGACCCGUUCGGCACCUUACGAGAAAUCAAAGUGCUUGGGCUCCAGGGGGAGUAUGGUCGCAAGGCUGAAACUUAAAGAAAUUGACGGAAGGGCACCACCAGGGGUGGAGCCUGCGGCUUAAUUUGACUCAACACGGGGAAACUCACCAGGUCCAGACACAAUAAGGAUUGACAGAUUGAGAGCUCUUUCUUGAUUUUGUGGGUGGUGUGCAUGGCCGUUCUUAGUUGGUGGGGUGACUUGUCUGCUUAAUUGCGAUAACGAACGAGACCUUAACCUGCUAAAUAGCCCGCAUUGCUCCGGCAGUGCGCUGGCUUCUUAGAGGGACU
rnacentral:rRNA from 1 species